rnacentral:rRNA from 1 species
UACGUAGGGGGCAAGCGUUGUCCGGAAUCAUUGGGCGUAAAGAGCGUGUAGGCGGCCAGAUAAGUCCGCUGUGAAAUAUCGAGGCUCAACUUCGAGCUGUCGGUGGAAACUGUCUGGCUAGAGUCCGGAAGAGGAGAAUGGAAUUCCUGGUGUAGCGGUGAAAUGCGCAGAUAUCAGGAAGAACACCCGUGGCGAAGGCGGUUCUCUGGGACGGUACUGACACUCAGGUGCGACAGCGUGGGGAGCAAACAGG